CGCAGAGACCUUAUAUUUGUACCUUGCAGCAAGUUUGUUGGCAGUUGGAGCAGUCUUGGUUCGGGAGGUCAGUGGGAAGCAGCAUCCGGUCUAUUAUGUCAGUCACGUCCUACGAGAUGCUGAAACCAGGUACCCGAAUAUUGAAAAUUUUGCUUUUGCUUUGAUAAUUGCUAGUAGAAAGCUUCGGCAAUAUUUUCACGGUCGGCUCCUGGUCGUC
rnacentral:lncRNA from 1 species